AUUGAACGCUGGCGGCAUGCUUUACACAUGCAAGUCGAACGGUAACAGGGUGCUUGCACCGCUGACGAGUGGCGAACGGGUGAGUAAUGCGUCGGAACGUGCCGAGUAAUGGGGGAUAACGCAUCGAAAGGUGUGCUAAUACCGCAUACGCUCUGAGGAGGAAAGCUGGGGAUCGAAAGACCUGGCGUUAUUCGAGCGGCCGACGUCUGAUUAGCUAGUUGGUGAGGUAAAGGCUCACCAAGGCGACGAUCAGUAGCGGGUCUGAGAGGAUGAUCCGACACACUGGAACUGAGACACGGUCCAGACUCCUACGGGAGGCAGCAGUGGGGAAUUUUCCGCAAUGGGCGAAAGCCUGACGGAGCAAUACCGCGUGAGGGAAGAAUGCCUAUGGGUUGUAAAACCUCUUUUUUCAGGGAGGGAACAAAAAUAGACGUGUACCU
rnacentral:rRNA from 1 species